rnacentral:rRNA from 1 species
AGAGUUUGAUCCUGGCUCAGGAUGAACGCUAGCGGCAGGCUUAAUACAUGCAAGUCGAGGGGCAGCGCGGGUAGCAAUACCUGGCGGCGACCGGCAAACGGGUGCGGAACACGUACGCAACCUUCCCAUAACUGGUGAAUAGCCCUCCGAAAGGAGGAUUAAUACACCGUAACAUAACGAGGAGGCAUCUCUUUGUUAUUAUAGUAGCAAUACGGUUUUGGAUGGGCGUGCGCCUGAUUAGGUAGUUGGCGGGGUAACGGCCCACCAAGCCUGCGAUCAGUAACUGGUGUGAGAGCACGACCAGUCACACGGGCACUGAGACACGGGCCCGACUCCUACGGGAGGCAGCAGUAAGGAAUAUUGGUCAAUGGACGAAAGUCUGAACCAGCCAUGCCGCGUGAAGGAUUAAGGCCCUCUGGGUUGUAAACUUCUUUUAUCUGGGACGAAAAAAGGGUAUUCUUACUCACUUGACGGUACCAGAGGAAUAAGCACCGGCUAACUCCGUGCCAGCAGCCGCGGUAAUACGGAGGGUGCAAGCGUUAUCCGGAUUUACUGGGUUUAAAGGGUGCGUAGGUGGGUUUGUAAGUCAGUGGUGAAAUCUCCGAGCUUAACUCGGAAACUGCCAUUGAUACUAUAGAUCUUGAAUUAUCUGGAGGUAAGCGGAAUAUGUCAUGUAGCGGUGAAAUGCUUAGAUAUGACAUAGAACACCAAUUGCGAAGGCAGCUUACUACGGAUAUAUUGACACUGAGGCACGAAAGCGUGGGGAUCAAACAGGAUUAGAUACCCUGGUAGUCCACGCC